rnacentral:rRNA from 1 species
AAUCCUACGGGGCGCAGCAGUGGGGAAUAUUGCACAAUGGGGGAAACCCUGAUGCAGCGACGCCGCGUGAGUGAGGAAGUAUUUCGGUAUGUAAAGCUCUAUCAGCAGGGAAGAAAAUGACGGUACCUGACUAAGAAGCCCCGGCUAACUACGUGCCAGCAGCCGCGGUAAUACGUAGGGGGCAAGCGUUAUCCGGAUUUACUGGGUGUAAAGGGAGCGUAGACGGAGGAGCAAGUCUGAUGUGAAAUCCCACGGCCCAACCGUGGAACUGCCUUUGAAACUGUAGAGCUUGAGUGUCGGAGAGG